rnacentral:rRNA from 1 species
CCUACGGGGGGCAGCAGUGAGGAAUAUUGGUCAAUGGCCGGAAGGCUGAACCAGCCAUGCCGCGUGAAGGUCAGUGCCCUAUGGGCUUUAAACUUCUUUUUUUCGGGAGCAAUAAUGGUCACGUGUGGCCAUACUAUAGUACCGUACGAAUAAGCAUCGGCUAACUCCGUGCCAGCAGCCGCGGUAAUACGGGGGAUGCAAGCGUUAUCCGGCUUUACUGGGUGUAAAGGGGGCGCAGACGGCAUCGCAAGCCAGGAGUGAAAGCCCGGGGGCCAACCCCGGGACUGAUGUUGGAACUGGGAGGCUGGAGUGCAGGAGGGGUAGGCGGAAUUCGUGGUGUAGCGGUGAAAUGCGUAGAUAUCAGGAGGAACACCGGUGGCGAAGGCGGCCCGCUGGACUGCGACUGACGUUGAGGCCCGAAAGCGUGGGGAGCAAACAGGAUUAGAUACCCCAGUAGUC